rnacentral:rRNA from 1 species
UACGGUAGGGGCUAGCGUUAUCCGGAAUUAUUGGGUUUAAAGGGUGCGUAGGUGGUUUCUUAAGUCAGAGGUGAAAGGCUACGGCUCAACCGUAGUAAGCCUUUGAAACUGGGAAACUUGAGUGCAGGAGAGGAGAGUGGAAUUCCUAGUGUAGCGGUGAAAUGCGUAGAUAUUAGGAGGAACACCAGUUGCGAAGGCGGCUCUCUGGACUGUAACUGACACUGAGGCACGAAAGCGUGGGGAGCAAACAGGAUUAGAUACCCCGGUAGUCCCUGAGCGGGCU